rnacentral:rRNA from 1 species
AAAAAACUCUGAGACGUGAUACCGAGCCGCUUCAGGCGAAGUCAUUGAUCCUAUGCUGCCUAGAAAAGCCCAGCAGCGAGUUGACAUGGUGCCCGUACCCCAAACCAACACAGGUGGACAGGUAGAGCAUACCAAGGCGAGUGGGAUAACUAUGGUUAAGGAACUCGGCAAAUUGCCUCCGUAACUUCGGGAGAAGGAGGACCCCAGUAGCGUGAUGAGACUUGCUCUCUGAGCGUGAAGGGGUGGCACAAAAUUGAGGGAAGCGACUGUUUACCAAAAACACAGCAGCGUGCUAAGCCGUAAGGCGCUGUAUACGCUGUGACUCCUGCCCGGUGCUGGAAGGUUACGGGGAUGGGUUAGUCCUUCGGGACGAAGCUCUGAACCUAAGCCCCAGUAAACGGCGGCCGUAACUAUAACGGUCCUAAGGUAGCGAAAUUCCUUGUCGGGUAAGUUCCGACCUGCACGAAUGGAGUAGCGACUUCCCUACUGUCUCAACCAUAGACCCAGCGAAAUUGAAGUACGAGUAAAGAUGCUCGUUAGCCGCAGAAGGACGGAAAGACCCCGUGGACCUUUACUAUAACUUGAUGUUGUGUUUUGUCAUAUGUUGUGUAGGAUAGGUGGGAGACUUGGAAGCAUGGACGCUAGUCUGUGUGGAGUCAUCGUUGAAAUACCACCCUGCAUAUGGUGAGGCUCUAACCUAGACCCGUUAUCCGGGUUGGGGACAGCGUCAGGCGGGUAGUUUAACUGGGGCGGUUGCCUCCUAAAGAGUAACGGAGGUGCCCAAAGGUUCCCUCAGCCUGGUUGGCAAUCAGGCGUUGAGUGCAAUGGCAAAAGGGAGCUUGACUGCGAGACCUACAAGUCGAGCAGGAGCGAAAGCUGGGCAUAGUGAUCCGGCGGUUGCGUGUGGAAGCGCCGUCGCUCAACGGAUAAAAGGUACCCCGGGGAUAGCAGGCUAAUCUUGCCCAAGCGUCCAUAGCGACGGCAAGGUUUGGCACCUCGAUGUCGGCUCAUCGCAUCCUGGGGCUGAAGCAGGUCCCAAGGGUUGGGCUGUUCGCCCAUUAAAGCGGUACGCGAGCUGGGUUCAGAACGUCGUGAGACAGUUCGGUCCCCAUCCUCUGCAGCCGGAGGUGAAUUGAGGAAAGCUGUCCCUAGUACGAGAGGACCGGGACGGACGCAGCUCUCGUGUGCCAGUCGUCCUGCCAAGGGCAUGGCUGGUUAGCGACCUGCGGAAAGGAUAACCGCUGAAAGCAUCUAAGCGGGAAGCCUCUUCCAAGAUGAAUUCACCCACAGGGUUAACCUGGUAAGGCCCGUGGUAGACCACCACGUUGAUAGGCCGGAAGUGUAAGCGUGGCAACACGUUCAGCUGACCGGUACUAAUCGGCCGAGGGCUUGAGUC